rnacentral:rRNA from 1 species
UGAAGCGGCAACAGCUCAAAUUUGAAAUCUGACCCCUUGAGGGCCCGAGUUGUAAUUUGUAGAGGACGUUUCGGGUGCGGCGCCGGUCUAAGUUCCUUGGAACAGGACGUCAUAGAGGGUGAGAAUCCCGUAUGCGACCGGUGACCAACCCCAUGUGAAACCCCUUCGACGAGUCGAGUUGUUUGGGAAUGCAGCUCAAAAUGGGUGGUAAAUUUCAUCUAAAGCUAAAUACCGGCCAGAGACCGAUAGCGCACAAGUAGAGUGAUCGAAAGAUGAAAAGCACUUUGGAAAGAGAGUCAAACAGUACGUGAAAUUGUUGAAAGGGAAGCGCUUGCAACCAGACCUGCCCCUGGGCGAUCAGCCGUUAUUCUUAGCGGUGCACUCGUCCUUGUUCAGGCCAGCAUCGGUUCGGGCGGCCGGAUAAAGGCCCCGGGAAUGUAGCUCCCUCCGGGGAGUCUUAUAGCCCGGGGUGCAAUGCGGCCAGCCCGGACCGAGGACCGCGCUUCGGCUAGGAUGCUGGCAUAAUGGUUGUAAGCGACCCGUC